AUUGAACGCUGGCGGCAGGCCUAACACAUGCAAGUCGAGCGGGGUUUUCGGACCUAGCGGCGGACGGGUGAGUAAUGCGUAGGAAGCUACCCGAUAGAGGGGGAUACCAGUUGGAAACGACUGUUAAUACCGCAUAAUGUCUACGGACCAAAGUGUGGGACCUUCGGGCCACAUGCUAUCGGAUGCGCCUACGUGGGAUUAGCUAGUUGGUGAGGUAAUGGCUCACCAAGGCGACGAUCCCUAGCUGGUUUGAGAGGAUGAUCAGCCACACUGGAACUGGGACACGGUCCAGACUCCUACGGGAGGCAGCAGUGGGGAAUAUUGGACAAUGGGCGCAAGCCUGAUCCAGCCAUGCCGCGUGUGUGAAGAAGGCCUUCGGGUUGUAAAGCACUAUCAGUAGGGAGGAAGCGUUGUGUGUUAAUAGUACACAGCGUUGACGUUACCUACAGAAGAAGCACCGGCUAACUCUGUGCCAGCCGCCGCGGUAACAC
rnacentral:rRNA from 1 species